rnacentral:lncRNA from 1 species
CAUUCUGUAAGAAAAGAUUCAAUUAAACAUGCGAACUCGUCCCAGGCCCAGUAGUUUUGAAAAGUCAGAGUCGGUACAGCAGAAGAGGAAGUGGUUUGGGACAAUGAACUCAUUUCCAUGCUGUCUGGUUAGAGACACCACUUCUCAGGUCCACUGGCAUUCAACAUGAAAGAGCUGCAAAAUAAAAAAAUACCAAAAAGAAAAAGAAACAAAGGGAAUAUGAAAAUCAAGAGGCAUUAAAAUCCAAACAUUUAGAGGACUAUAUAAAAAAGGAAAAUUCCCCCCUUUCAGGCAAAGAGUAGGGCAUGCCGAAAUAAGCAUUUAACCUACAAUAAAACCAUAGGAUGAUGACCCUAAAAAGAGAGUUCCCAUUAUUGCCAAAUAUUGCAGCUCAAGUUGUAAUUCAGCCUUUGCAAUCAUGGUAGCAGUUGACCCAAGAAAUGAGAUCUUUUUACUUUUUUCCCAAUAGCCAAAAAACAAUAAUAAUAAUAAUAAUAAGCAUCUUUUUCCCCUGAAAAUAUUUUAUUUGACUUUAUCUCACUGCAUUGUCCAGAACCCAUUAAAAUGACACUUCAGAUUCUUACAAAUCAAUUGUUGUGAUGGGCUUUAUUUUCUGUACAGGUACCAGAUUAGAGGAUGCAUUUGUCCUAAGGAUUUCAUGGAAAAUACAUAGUAAGAACUCCAUGUCUCAUAGAACUCCAAUGAAAGCUAAAUGUAUUGAUAACACCAUCAUCAUCAACAUUCUGACAACCAUAAUAAAAAAGUGGUCAGAUGGCUCACCAGGCCUUAGCAGGUUUGCCACAUUAUGCCAUAAAUUCUUCCUACUGCCAUGAGGGUUGCUUAUAGCCAAAUCUAUCUGCUGCAUCCCAACCACCAUCAGGCUCUUUUCUCUUCAAUACCCCUCCUGCCACCUGAUGAUACAUCUUUAGCUGCUCCUCCGCC